ACUCAAAUGAAUUGACGGGGGCCCGCACAAGCGGAGGAACAUGUGGUUUAAUUCGAUGAUACGCGAGGAACCUUACCCGGGCUCAAACGCAGAAGGAAUAUAUGGGAAACUGUAUAGCCAGCAAUGGCCGUCUGCGAGGUGCUGCAUGGUUGUCGUCAGCUCGUGCCGUGAGGUGUCGGCUUAAGUGCCAUAACGAGCGCAACCCUUAUUGUUAGUUGCCAGCGGAUAAUGCCGGGGACUCUAGCAAAACUGCCGGCGUAAGCUGUGAGGAAGGUGGGGAUGACGUCAAAUCAGCACGGCCCUUACGUCCGGGGCGACACACGUGUUACAAUGGGAGGUACAGAAGGUCGCUACCACGCGAGUGGAUGCCAAUCUAGAAAGCCUCUCUCAGUUCGGAUCGAAGUCUGCAACCCGACUUCGUGAAGCUGGAUUCGCUAGUAAUCGCGCAUCAGCCAUGGCGCGGUGAAUACGUUCCCGGGCCUUGUACACACCGCCCGU
rnacentral:rRNA from 1 species